GAAAACCCCAACUAGCCUUCUCAAAGCUAUGCAUCCAUUUACACCACCUUUCCCCAAAGAAUUCAUCUCAAGGACUUUGUAUGAAAACCCCAACUAUCCUUCUCAAAGCUAUGCAUCUUGUAACACUUACUAGGUUAGACUCCUGCUGCUUGCUUCAUCAAUUAAAAUUCUAUAUUGAAAAUGUUCAACAAAUAUAGAUUUCGCUUGCAUAUAUUUGCAGGUGCUGUCAAUCAAGAUUUUUUUUUUUCUUGGCUAAGAAGAAAGGAUACAAGAAAGGAAACAAUAAACAGAAGCAGGGCAACAAAGGAGAAAAUUAACAGGAAACUUUCUGUCUCCACCUGCUCAAUCAAGCAUUCUGGUAUACAAGGAGGAAAAAUCAGUCCUUCAACCUUGGAUCUAAAGUUCCAAGCUGCAAGGCCAUGGGCAAGCUGAUUUGCAUUUCAAUUAAUUUGCAGUGAGAUGCUUAAUUUGGCAGUGACUACCCAUCCUGUUGCACGUUUUCACGCUUUAUCUGGAUUUUAUGCUGUUUACACUAUGCUAAAUUUGGAGUCAAGGGCAAAUUUGACGAAGAUUUGGGAGAAGGGGCAACAGAUAUGUUCAAAAUCAUGGCAUGAGUUGAACAAUAUUUCUGGAAACCAAAAGUAUGCUGCACAAUAUUGUUUUCGGGUUCCCUAUUUGGCAUCGUUGAUUGAGGAUUCUCUUUGUCUCAGUGACAAGGAGAUCAUUUUUGGACCAGGAGAUGUUUCUUGGACAAUGGGAGCUGCAUUGGUAGAAGGGGAGUUGUUGUGGCGUAGUUCUUCCAGAGAUGAGACUAGCAUUUUAACUCGAACGAAUACUGGGGUAAUCUCUAAGUCCAUUUUUUUGUUGUUUGUUCUUGUA